UACGGGGGAAGCAAGCGUUGUUCGGAUUUACUGGGCGUAAAGGGCGCGUAGGCGGCCACCGCAAGUCGGUUGUGAAAUCUCUGGGCUUAACCCAGAAAGGUCAACCGAUACUGCGGGGCUAGAGUGCAGAAGGGGCAACUGGAAUUCCAGGUGUAGCGGUGAAAUGCGUAGAUAUCUGGAGGAAUACCGGUGGCGAAGGCGGCAUCCUGGACCGGCAUUGACGCUGAGGAGCGAAAGCCAGGGGAGCAAACGGG
rnacentral:rRNA from 1 species